CCCGUGACUGCCACCACUGUGGGAAGCAGUUCCCCAAGCCCUUCAAGCUGCAGCGCCACCUGGCGGUGCACAGCCCACAGCGCGUCUACCUGUGUCCCCGGUGCCCGCAGGUCUACCCUGAGCCCUGGGAGCUGAAGGUACACCUGGGCCUGACCCACGGGGUGACAGAGGAGAAGGAGCUCCCACACGUGCCUCUCUAUGCCUGUGAGCUCUGCGCCAAUGUCAUGCACGUCAUCAGGAGGUCCUUUGUCUGCAGCUCCUGCAACUACACCUUUGCAAAGAAGGAGCAAUUCGACAGGCACAUGGGCAAGCACCUGAGUUGCGACCUGCAGCCCUUCACACUCCGGAGUGUUAAGCGGCCAGGGGUUCCUAGGAGGAAGACCCGUGUCUCCCAGGAUGUGCUACCCAGCAAGCAGAACAGGCUGAUGGCGCCCUUCAGUCCCCCUGAGCUCAGCACUGACAGAAUCCCCUCCACAACCAGCCCUACACCAAGUGAGGUGUCCCUUCCUGCACUGCCCCUAGCGCCUAGCCUCAUCCUGGACCAGCCCAGUUCUCAAGAGAACCCUGUGGACCAGGCAGACCACUCACCCAGGGGGAACAACCUACCAUUGAGUGGCCAGGAUCUUCCACCUCCGUCUCUGUCUCCUUUCUCAGCUGCCUCAGCUGAAGGUACAGGCGGCUGCUGCAAGCUGAACAGAACCCUGGAGAAACCAGAACACGAGGCUUCCUUGGGAAGCCUUGAGCCAUGUAAAUGGCAGGCUCUGGUAGGGGAAAAGAGGGCCCUUCACCUGUUCCCAGGAAAACACAAGAGUCCAGGCAACGGAGACAAGUGUGCCCCUGGGUGUUCCCCAGGGCACCCCUCUCAGCUCCAGGAGAGGCUAGUGACCACACACCACAUGGCACCUGAGGGGAGAAUAGAGGGUCCCUCCCAGAAGGGCAAUGCCACCAAACCAGGAGCCUACUCAAGUACCUCCCAUCACAGAGCAGCAGAGCCCACCAAAAAAGCACUGAAGCCACCAGCACCACCCCGAAAACCAGGAGGGAUGGGGAUCCCAGCCGCAGAGCUGGUCUUGAGUCCUGAGGACAGGGUAAAGCCCAACACUUCUAAAGGUAAACUGCGAGGCACCCCUCAGAGCAGUGGGGGGCUCCAGCCUGGCACUCAGACAGGGGGUGGCAGCCAGCCCCAGCCAACCAGUGGGCAGCUCCAAAGUGAGAUGGCCUCCACCCCUACUGAGCCCAGCUGUCCUAGCUGGGCGAGCUCCACCCCGGACCAGCCCCCACCUCGAGCCCACACCAAGGGUAGCACCAGAGGGCCUGGGGACGCUGUUCAUCAGGGGGUCCAAGUGCAUUCAAGUCCCAGGGAGAAAAGAGAAAGCCAUGGAAGACAAAGGAAGGGCCAGGCCCUGGGACUGGGCAGACAUGGAAGCGUGGGAAACACUGGGAAAGCCCCCUCGGCCCCCGACAAGUCAUCCAGGGCCCCCCGAAAGCAAGCAACUCCCAGCCGAGUUCCCCCUGUCAAGUCGAGACCCAGUGGCCAGAGCAGCAGGGCAAGGCCACAGCCAUCAGCACAGCGGAAAGGGGAUCCAGGCCACACUUCAGAAAAGGGCUCUUUGCCCCAGGCAAGAGCCCUGUCCAGGCCCUACAAAAGGGUCAGAGCUCUCCAUGUCAGUGGUGUUGCGCCUAUGGAGCCCCGAGACCGCCGGACUGCAGAAGCCCAGAGCGACCUCCUCAGUCAGCUGUUUGGGCAGAAGCUGACCAGCUUCAGAAUCCCUCUGAAGAAGGACAGUUCCCAGUGACCCAAAAGAGAGGAUGCGUGGGUGCCCGGCUGAUGGGCUUCUGUCUGGCCUCCAGCAUUGGAGACAGCUCCCUGGUAGACCCACUGCCUGUUUCUCUGCACCUGAGUUUCCAGAUUCGAGGCCUGAGAACAGGGCUUUGGCUGGAAGGCUGGGAAGGACCGGUCUCUACCGCCCAGGGAUCACCUGCUUCCCUAGUGUCAAGUACUUGAAGAGAGCAGGUUGCGUCCCAUCACCGCCACCACACCCUGUUGGCCAGGUGUCUCGUGCUGUAAAGCUUGUGUUUGAGGGUUUGCACAGGGUUCCCCAUCUCUUAGCAGGGAAGCACACAGUGGCAGCUGCCUUUUCUGCUGCCAUUGUUAAAAUUCCAAAGUGUCCUUAGAUGUCACAUGGGAGAGGGCCAUGCUGUCUACUUGGGCCAUUUCUGAGCCACCUGGUCUUUGACAGCAUGACAGGACCACCCUCCCCCACCCGCAACCACAAAAUCGCGCUGGCCUCCAGCUGCACUGCUGAUCUCUGCAGCACCUUGUCCCCACCCCACCCCACCCCCCACCCCUGGAACUGGGUUCCUAUAGGGAAUGCAAGAAGGCCCUUCAUGGCCAGCAUCCUGUGGGUCCCUCAGCCCUACGGCCCCUUCCUAGUGCCUUCUUUCCCCAUGGGGCUCCAACUCUAGGUCCCAGAAAGCCUGGUCCAAAGGCUCUGGUGCUACUCCCGUGCUGUAAUGUGAAUACAGGCUCCCUGGUCUUCUUUGAACCACGGGAUGAUUAGAGUGGGGAGACCUAGCCAGAGAGGCUGCAGCCCAGGACUCAAGAGAGAGCCUCAUCCACCGGUCUCCCCAGUUGAGCUCCAGCCCAGGGUCCCAGCAGUGAAGGGACCCCCCAGGCUGGGCUGUGGGUCUGGUCUGUGCAGUGGCACGAGCCUGCCAACUGCACACCUGCCUGAUAUAGCGUUGUGUAUCAAAGUGGGCAGAGGGAGAGGUUUCCCAUUCCUCCUAGGAGUCUUAGAGAUUCCUGCCUUACUUUGUUGUGUAGUUUGUUGGCUUUUUGGGGUUUUCUUGUUUUUUGUACUUUUGUUCUUGUUUUUGUUUUUUUAGCUUUGGUGCAAUGUGAGUGUCAAAAGGUUUUAUUUUGACAUUUUAAACAAGACCAAAUCAGGCCCAAACUGCCUCCAUAGAAGGUGCUGGGGUCUUUCAGAAUGCCUCCUUCCAAUGGAUAAAGACGUGGGCAGCCCCCCCCCCCAGGUUGUACUGUAAAAGCUACAGCUAAUUUGUCUUUUCAAAUAUAUUCCCACUAUUUUCGCAGAA
ensembl:lincRNA Gm22 predicted gene 22